rnacentral:rRNA from 1 species
ACAGCAGUCGCCGCGGUAAUACGGAGGAUCCAAGCGUUAUCCGGAAUUAUUGGGUUUAAAGGGUGCGUAGGCGGCAUGCUAAGUCAGGGGUGAAAGACGGUGGCUCAACCAUCGCAGUGCCUUUGAUACUGGUGUGCUUGAAUGUACAUGAGGUAGGCGGAAUGUGGCAAGUAGCGGUGAAAUGCAUAGAUAUGCCACAGAACACCGAUUGCGAAGGCAGCUUACCAAGGCAAUAUUGACGCUGAGGCACGAAAGCGUGGGGAUCGAACAGGAUUAGAUACCCCUGUAGUCCCUGUCUCUUAUAC